AUUUCCCAGAACUCUCUUGGCAAUCAGGUGGCUGUGGCUCCACCACCAUCAACCAAUCAACGCUCAUCCUCACCUGAAUAUGGAUCUGUUUCACCGGUUCCCUCUAUCAUGUGAUCAUACCUAGUUAGGAUAUAAGCCUAGGCUUUAGACUAGAUCUAUGUGAGGUAUUACUUGUUGUCAUUGCCUAACUGUGUGUCAGACUUCGCUUCUGUAUUUUUGACUUUGCCUUUUGUCUUGCCCCUUUUGUACCCUUUUUUCUGGUUCCUGUCCCUGUUAUGUUUUCCUUUUUCUUAUUUGGAUCUUCCUGGCUUUGACCUCUGCCUGUGACCACGAUUUUGGAUUGUGUUCAAAGUUCAAACAAUUAAAGCCUCAUUCUCUGACAGUAUUUCUGGCGACCUGUCCAGGGUGUAUUCUGCCUUCCGCCCAAUAACCGCUGGGACUGGCUCCAGAAGCCCCCGUGACCCAGAAGGAUAAGUGGCUUAGAAAAUGUGUCUAUGUAUUUAUUGUAUUUUCUGCACUCAUGUCCUGUUGUCGUGUAUCUGCACUCUAUGUAGUCCUGUGUAAGGUGCUUCUGUUGUGUGUUUCAUCACGAGGCAUGAAGAACAACAUUUCGUUCAAUGGAUACAAAUUAAAAUAAGAAAUGACGAAGA